AUUCAGGGGAGAUGCGGUUUUCUGAACCGCCAGAUGGGGGCAGUGUAGGACAGCGCGUUGUGAAACGGGCAGCAGUCUGAACUUGGAGCUGUCGGGAUUGGGGAAGAAGUGAGCGGGACUGAACGCAUAUAUCUUGGACCACCAGGGUUGUAGCCAUGGACUCUGACCCGUUGAAUGCUGAGGAUCAGAAUACAUCAGAACCUCCAACUGAACCUGGAAGCACUAAACGGGUUUCACUCCGGAGCAUCGGACUCCACUCGACCUGAACAUAAAGUUGUUGAUUUGAGCUUGGCUCAUUUCCUGAGUGAAACCCCUUAAAUAUCUCCCAGCUCCCCACAAUAAAGUGUUUGUCUAUUUUA